GUAGGGUGCGGGCGUUAAUCGGAAUUACUGGGCGUAAAGCGUGCGCAGGCGGCUCCUUAAGUCAGAUGUGAAAGCCCCGGGCUUAACCUGGGAACUGCGUUUGAAACUGGGGAGCUAGAGUGUGGAAGAGGGGGGUGGAAUUCCAGGUGUAGCAGUGAAAUGCGUAGAGAUCUGGAGGAACACCGAUGGCGAAGGCAGCCCCCUGGGCUAACACUGACGCUCAUGCACGAAAGCGUGGGGAGCAAACAGGAUUAGAUACCCUGGUAGUCCACGCCCUAAACGAUGUCAACUGGUUGUCGGGGAAGUAAUUCCUUGGUAACGAAGCUAACGCGUGAAGUUGACCGCCUGGGGAGUACGGCCGCAAGGCUUAA
rnacentral:rRNA from 1 species